CGCGCAGCCGACGCUACGGGAAGGAAAGCCGCGCGGACGCCGGGCAGCAGCCGGCGCCCGCAACAAAAUAAAACUACGAAGCCGAACGGAACCCGAAGCCGAACAAAGCGGGCGCCGAGGAGAAGCGGAAGCCCGGGUCCGGCCGCCGGCAGGCCGCGGCCGCCCGCUCGCCCCUCCCCGCCCCCAGCCCCGCGCCGGCGGCGCGCCCACCUCCCCGCACGGCCCCGACCCUUGGGCGCAGCGCGCGGCCCGGCCCCGCCCUUCCGCACCCGCGGGACACCUCCACCAGUCGCUGUCCUGCCGCUCCCCGCGCGCACGCCGCGCGUUAUCUACGCUCCCACCCGCACCCACCUGACAACGCCCCGCUCUCCGCCGACCCCGCCACGCCACUCGGCGCUCACCCGCCGGCCCGCCCACUUCCCCUCCCCACCGGGAGGGCUGCCGCAACGCCCCUGCGGCGCAUGCGCAGAACGCCGCGUCUUCCCGCCUCCUGGGCGCCGCUCCACAGCAGCCAUCUUGGUGGCGGGAGGGGCUCGUGCCCGGCGGAAGCGGCGCUCUCACGCGCGCUGCUUUCCCGGGGGAGCGCCGUUAGGGCCGGCGGCGGGGCGGUGGGCGGGUGGCGCAGGGACGUCAGCUGAAGGGUGGGAUGCCGUCCACAGCGACCUAGACAGGCUGAAGUGGUGGGCCUGGGAGAACCGUGUGAGGCUAGUAAAGCCAAGUGUAAGGUCUCGCACGUGGGUCACGGCAACCUCCGCUAUCAGUACAAGCCGGGGGAUGGAAGGGAAGAGCACAGCCCUACUAAAAAGGAUCUGGGGACACUGGUGGGUGGCAGCUGGACAUGAGCCAGCAGCGUGCCCUCACAGCCCAGAAUGCCAACAGUAUCCUGGGCUGCACGGCCAGCAGGGUGAGGGAGGUGGUCCUGCCCCUCUGCUCUGUGCUGGUGAGACCUCACCUGGAGUACUGCGUCCAGAUGUAGAGUCCUCAGUACAGGAGAGACGUGGACCUGAAAGAGCGUGA
rnacentral:lncRNA from 1 species